rnacentral:rRNA from 1 species
UACGAAGGGACCUAGCGUAGUUCGGAAUUACUGGGCUUAAAGAGUUCGUAGGUGGUUGAAAAAGUUAGUGGUGAAAUCCCAGAGCUUAACUCUGGAACUGCCAUUAAAACUUUUCAGCUAGAGUAUGAUAGAGGAAAGCAGAAUUUCUAGUGUAGAGGUGAAAUUCGUAGAUAUUAGAAAGAAUACCAAUUGCGAAGGCAGCUUUCUGGAUCAUUACUGACACUGAGGAACGAAAGCAUGGGUAGCGAAGAGGAUUAGAUACCCUCGUAGUCCAUGCCGUAAACGAUGUGUGUUAGACGUUGGAAAUUUAUUUUCAGUGUCGCAGCGAAAGCGAUAAACACACCGCCUGGGGAGUACGACCGCAAGGUUAAAACUCAAAUGAAUUGACGGGGACCCGCACAAGUAGUGGAGCAUGUGGUUUAAUUCGAAGAUACGCGCAGAACCUUACCAACACUUGACAUGCUCGUCGCGACUCUAAGAGAUUAGAGUUUUCGGUUCGGCCGGACGAAACACAGGUGCUGCAUGGCUGUCGUCAGCUCGUGUCGUGAGAUGUUGGGUUAAGUCCCGCAACGAGCGCAACCCUCACUUUUAGUUGCCAUCAUUAAGUUGGGCACUCUGAAAGAACUGCCAGUGAUAAGCUGGAGGAAGGUGGGGAUGACGUCAAGUCCUCAUGGCCCUUACGUGUUGGGCUACACACGUGCUACAAUGGUAUCUACAACAGGAAGCAAGACUGCGAAGUUAAGCAAAUCCCUAAAAGAUACCUCAGUUCGGAUUGCACUCUGCAACUCGAGUGCAUGAAGCUGGAAUUACUAGUAAUCGUGGAUCAGCGUGCCACGGUGAAUGCGUUCCCGGGUCU